UAGUCUCGCACAGAUGCAUAUCAAUAAGCGGAGGAAAAGAAACUAACAAGGAUUCCCUUAGUAACGGCGAGUGAAGCGGGAAGAGCUCAAAUUUGAAAUCUUCAAGGUUUUACCUUGACGAAUUGUAGUUUAAAGAAGUGUUUUCUGUUGAAGUUUUGGUAAAAGUUCUUUGGAAUAGGACAUCAUAGAGGGUGAGAAUCCCGUAUUUGACCAUUAUUUUCAGCUGUGUGAUACACUUUCAAAGAGUCGGAUUGUUUGGGAAUGCAGUCCAAAAUGGGUGGUAAAUUUCAUCUAAAGCUAAAUAUUGGCGAGAGACCGAUAGCGAACAAGUACCGUGAGGGAAAGAUGAAAAGAACUUUGAAAAGAGAGUUAAACAGUACGUGAAAUUGUCAAAAGGGAAGCGUUUGACACCAGUGUUGUUUUCUCGAAAAUCAAUUAAAAAGAGUUAGAUUUAGUUGUGUAUUGACCUUAACAGCUUGCAUUUCAAUUUUCUUGCUUUUUUUAAUGCACUUUUCGUUUAACAAGUCAACAUCAGUUUCUUUUGUUGUAAAAAGGUCAUUGGAAGGUGGCUUUCUUUUCGGAGAAAGUGUUUAUAGCCUUUGACUCCUGCAAUCGGAGAGACUGAGGUCUGCAGCGUAGAUCCUUCGGGGUUAGAUACAUUUGUGCUAAGUUAUAGCUUUUUAUAGACAACUUGUUGACUAUGAUUAGUCUUGUAGCUUACUCGCUUAUGCUAUUUUACCUACGCUUAGGAUGUUGAGCGCAUGUCUCUCUCU
rnacentral:rRNA from 1 species